GGUUUUUCGGGAUCGUAAAACUCUGUUGUUAGGGAAGAACAAGUACCGUUCGAAUAGGGCGGUACCUUGACGGUACCUAACCAGAAAGCCACGGCUAACUACGUGCCAGCAGCCGCGGUAAUACGUAGGUGGCAAGCGUUGUCCGGAAUUAUUGGGCGUAAAGCGCGCGCAGGCGGUUUCUUAAGUCUGAUGUGAAAGCCCCCGGCUCAACCGGGGAGGGUCAUUGGAAACUGGGGAACUUGAGUGCAGAAGAGGAGAGUGGAAUUCCACGUGUAGCGGUGAAAUGCGUAGAGAUGUGGAGGAACACCAGUGGCGAAGGCGACUCUCUGGUCUGUAACUGACGCUGAGGCGCGAAAGCGUGGGGAGCGAACAGGAUUAGAUACCCUGGUAGUCCACGCCGUAAACGAUGAGUGCUAAGUGUUAGAGGGUUUCCGCCCUUUAGUGCUGCAGCAAACGCAUUAAGCACUCCGCCUGGGGAGUACGGUCGCAAGACUGAAACUCAAAGGAAUUGACGGGGGCCCGCACAAGCGGUGGAGCAUGUGGUUUAAUUCGAAGCAACGCGAAGAACCUUACCAGGUCUUGACAUCCUCUGACAACCCUAGAGAUAGGGCUUCCCCUUCGGGGGCAGAGUGACAGGUGGUGCAUGGUG
rnacentral:rRNA from 1 species